rnacentral:rRNA from 1 species
AGUUGUUGCGGUUAAAAAGCUCGUAGUCGAAUCUGUGUCCCGCGCCGCCGGUUCAUCGUCCGCGGUGUUAACUGGCGUGCCGCGGGACGUCCUGCCGGUGGGCUUAGCUCGCAAGGGCGGCCCAACUCAAUCCCGCCGCGGUGCUCUUCACUGAGUGUCGAGGUGGGCCGGCACGUUUACUUUGAACAAAUUAGAGUGCUUAAAGCAGGCUAAAACUUCGCCUGAAUACUGUGUGCAUGGAAUAAUGGAAUAGGACCUCGGUUCUAUUUUGUUGGUUUUCGGAACCCCGAGGUAAUGAUUAAUAGGAACGGAUGGGGGCAUUCCUAUUGCGACGUUAGAGG